AGAAUCAACGCUGGCGGCGUGCCUAACACAUGCAAGUCGCACGAGAAAGUGGAGCAAUCCAUGAGUACAGUGGCGCACGGGUGAGUAACACGUGAAUAAUCUACCUCCGAGUGGGGAAUAACUGAGAGAAAUCUUAGCUAAUACCACAUAAUACCCACGGGUCAAAGCAGCAAUGCGCUUGGAGAGGAGUUCGCGGCCGAUUAGCUAGUGGCGGGGUAAUGGCCCACCAAGGCGAUGAUCGGUA
rnacentral:rRNA from 1 species